AAUCCUCAACGUUACCCCCCCAACUGACACCCGACGUUUCGUGCCCACCGCUGGCACCUGUGAACUACGGAAAUUGCAGUGUGAAGUUCAACACUACGAACAUGCGGGUUCAUCCCUCCGUCAACAGAGGCUUCCAGCCCCCGGCCGACCCCCACAACAGGACGCCAGAGUGCGGAGGUCGGCGUGGCAGCGCAG
rnacentral:lncRNA from 1 species